rnacentral:rRNA from 1 species
CAUAGGUUAAUGAGGCGAACCGGGGGAACUGAAACAUCUAAGUACCCCGAGGAAAAGAAAUCAACCGAGAUUCCCCCAGUAGCGGCGAGCGAACGGGGAGGAGCCCAGAGCCUGAAUCAGUGUGUGUGUUAGUGGAAGCGUCUGGAAAGGCGCGCGAUACAGGGUGACAGCCCCGUACACAAAAAUGCACAUAUUGUGAGCUCGAUGAGUAGGGCGGGACACGUGGUAUCCUGUCUGAAUAUGGGGGGACCAUCCUCCAAGGCUAAAUACUCCUGACUGACCGAUAGUGAACCAGUACCGUGAGGGAAAGGCGAAAAGAACCCCGGCGAGGGGAGUGAAAAAGAACCUGAAACCGUGUACGUACAAGCAGUGGGAGCCUCUUAAUGGGGUGACUGCGUACCUUUUGUAUAAUGGGUCAGCGACUUAUAUUCUGUAGCAAGGUUAACCGAAUAGGGGAGCCGAAGGGAAACCGAGUCUUAACUGGGCGUUAAGUUGCAGGGUAUAGACCCGAAACCCGGUGAUCUAGCCAUGGGCAGGUUGAAGGUUGGGUAACACUAACUGGAGGACCGAACCGACUAAUGUUGAAAAAUUAGCGGAUGACUUGUGGCUGGGGGUGAAAGGCCAAUCAAACCGGGAGAUAGCUGGUUCUCCCCGAAAGCUAUUUAGGUAGCGCCUCGUGAAUUCAUCUCCGGGGGUAGAGCACUGUUUCGGCAAGGGGGUCAUCCCGACUUACCAACCCGAUGCAAACUGCGAAUACCGGAGAAUGUUAUCACGGGAGACACACGGCGGGUGCUAACGUCCGUCGUGAAGAGGGAAACAACCCAGACCGCCAGCUAAGGUCCCAAAGUCAUGGUUAAGUGGGAAACGAUGUGGGAAGGCCCAGACAGCCAGGAUGUUGGCUUAGAAGCAGCCAUCAUUUAAAGAAAGCGUAAUAGCUCACUGGUCGAGUCGGCCUGCGCGGAAGAUGUAACGGGGCUAAACCAUGCACCGAAGCUGCGGCAGCGACACUAUGUGUUGUUGGGUAGGGGAGCGUUCUGUAAGCCUGUGAAGGUGGCCUGUGAGGGUUGCUGGAGGUAUCAGAAGUGCGAAUGCUGACAUAAGUAACGAUAAAGCGGGUGAAAAGCCCGCUCGCCGGAAGACCAAGGGUUCCUGUCCAACGUUAAUCGGGGCAGGGUGAGUCGACCCCUAAGGCGAGGCCGAAAGGCGUAGUCGAUGGGAAACAGGUUAAUAUUCCUGUACUUGGUGUUACUGCGAAGGGGGGACGGAGAAGGCUAUGUUGGCCGGGCGACGGUUGUCCCGGUUUAAGCGUGUAGGCUGGUUUUCCAGGCAAAUCCGGAAAACCAAGGCUGAGGCGUGAUGACGAGGCACUACGGUGCUGAAGC